rnacentral:lncRNA from 1 species
ACUCGCCGGCAACAUGUGUCCCUGCAAAGCAGGGCAUGAAGAACAACAUGCUUGAACUUUGGGCUCGUGUUUGAGACCGGCGCUAGCUGCGUUCAUGGCGUACUGCCCCGGACUGGACAAGCGGACUCAACAUGUACCCGAUCGAGUUCUGGUGGUGGCUUCCCGGCCUGCCAUUCAGCGUGCUCAUCUUCAUCUACGACGAGUCGCGCCGCUUCCUACUACGACGCAAUCCGGGCGGAUGGGUCGAGCGGGAAACCUACUACUGAGCUGGGUCCAGCGGCGAGCGGCGCUUCCAAGUGGGGCGGCGUCGGCGAUGCAGACGGAGAGAGAAUGAGAUAGAGACAUGGAGAGAGAACGCUGUAACUAAUUCCCUAGUAAAUGAAUUGCGCGUGUGCGUAGCGGGUAGAUCGGGUUGCAAGAGUCGGGAGGCGGGUUGCCGCGGCGACGGGAGCGUGCCCGAGACAUCGAGCAUCGCCAUCGGGCAUGCUCCCUGGCGGCGGUAGAUAUGCCUCGCAGGAGAACCCGGUAGACCGGCCGCACACAGGCGUCCACGGAGAAGAGCCAUCGCUGGGCAGGGAGCGUUCUCGCUCGCUCACCCGUUAGUGCGUCGGUUUAUGUAAUACGAAAAAUACGACUCUUAUUGACUGUACAGUAGGAUAGUUUAUACACGUGUUAAGGCAGAACGCACGCGCGGCACCUUUCAGACAGGGGAACGGCAGCAAGUGGGUCGCACCGACACAGUUCUCGUCUCUCGCACUGCAUUACAUUUUGCGUUUCGUAGUUUGGCGGGUCACCAGGGGGCGCCGGUGGCAGCGUCCGCUGCACAUGUCCAGCCUCCGUUUGUUAUCUUGCCAGCUGGCCACUCGCAAGGGGGGGGGGGAGUGCCGCCGCCUUCUGCACACAGGGGGGAACUGAAGUUUUUUGCAGCAGGGGGAAAUAUUCAACUCAGGGGCAUUCUCAAAGGGGCAGUCACGUGGCGUCUCGCUCUCCGCAUGUUCCCCUGUGUGAACGGUCGUUUUCGUCGUCGGUCAUCGUACAUACCGUGUGUGAAUCCGUGUAGAAAUGUCAGUGUUGCCAGCACGCGACCGCCCAGUCGGGGAGGGUCAGCAAUAACUACGACGCCGUGAGAGUGCGAGGCGCGGCGCCGGGUGACCUAGCACCUGCGAUGGUGGGGUGGUGGGUGUUGGCAUCCAUGCUGUGUACGUAGCAAGGAUCCGCAUGUAGUUAGUAGUUACUAACUAGCUGUCACUAUACGUUACGUUCCUUUUGCGUUUUUUUCUUUUGGCUUCCUCCUUCCUCACUCCAUUUUCCUUUCCUACCGCACGUGUUAUCAAGGCACCUUUUCAAGGUGGAUUUUCCCCUUUUGUCUUCAGUUGUGAUUAGCAGGUUGUGAUGUUAUCGAUUCGGCGUGUGACUUGAUCGAGAGAUUUUAUAAGGUUUUCGUGAUUUUAUAAAUUUGGUGCGAUUAUCGUUGCAUUGACUUCUUUCAUAUUUUAAGUUUUGUUAUUUUUUUGUGAGAGACGUUUAACCAAAGCAAAAGCAAAUCUGUGAGUAUGAUUUUUCGGGAAAGCUGGUACCGUCUACCGUGGUGUACGUACUGAGUGGAGUUAAGGGCUGCGGGUUGAAGUGAGAGAUAUGUUUUGAGCGUGGCAUGGUGACGUAACACGACUGUUGUUACAAGGCAGAGUGAUUCUUAGCUUUCUCCCAGUCAACUAGUGAAUAGCAUAACGUGGCGCGAGCUUCGUGAGAGGUGCAUGCAAUGUUAUGAACCCUGUAGUUUGGCGAUGUAACGAUGAGUUGUAACCGUAGUCUCACUUGGCUGUCUGAUUACCUGUCAUGACUCAUUUCAGCCCUACGUCCCACGCUUCCCUGCUAGAAUUUAAUACGUAUGGGUAUAUUUUACUCAUAAAAAGGCACGUUCACUUCUUAAAUAUGUAUUAACAUGGGAAUAUUGUAUUCGUUAUCGUAUAUUUUGUCAGAAUUUGGCCGAUAUGGGUGUAUUGUACCCAUGUUGGUAUGUUACCGUGUUAGAAUUUUGUUCGUGUGCAUGUCCCUAGCUAGCUCCAUCUACUGGUCGUAAUUCAUAUCAUUCCGAUCCUGUGAUGGUAGUCUAUUGAUACUAGUACUUGCAUAUUCACCAUUGCUUCUAUGUUUGCAAGAUUCGUUUUACCAGUCAACUA